UGUUACUUCCAUUCUAGCCGAGGAGGAACGAUUCGAGGGGACCGGGGGAGGGAGGGGGUGCCAAAUGAUCGCUUCCGGGGGAUAUUUUUGUUUCCUUCCGCGCCGAUUUUGAAUCUAUCGGAGUCAGGCUGUUGGGCGAUAUUAAUAACAAUGAGAUUUAGGAAUUCCCGCUUUCUAAAACGCAACCGAUUUCAUUUUACGCCGGAGACUCACUGCCAAUGGCUGCGGUGUGGCCGUGUUAAAUUAAGAUUCGGUGACAGUGGGGCGAUUAUCGAGCAUCACGGGUUAUUGGAGCGGAAUAUAGAACGCGUAUUGUCUUGGAAAGUUUGAUCGGCUCUGAUCGAUUCAGGAAAUUUACAAAUAUUUUU